AUUGAACGCUGGCGGCAGGCCUAACACAUGCAAGUCGAGCGAGCGGCGGACGGGUGAGUAAUGUCUGGGAAACUGCCUGAUGGAGGGGGAUAACUACUGGAAACGGUAGCUAAUACCGCAUACCAUCAGAUGUGCCCAGAUGGGAUUAGCUAGUAGGUGGGGUAACGGCGCACCUAGGCGACGAUCCCUCGCUGGUCUGAGAGGAUGACCAGCCACACUGGAACUGAGACACGGUCCAAACUCUUACGGUGGGCAGCAGUGGGGAAUAUUGCACAAUGGGCGCAAGCUUGAUGCAGCCAUGCCGCGUGUGUGAAGAAGGCCUUCGGGUUGUAAAGCACUUUCAGCGGGGAGGCGUUACCCGCAGAAGAAGCACCGGCUAACUCCGUGCCAGCAGCCGCGGUAUAC
rnacentral:rRNA from 1 species